UGAGACUGUUGAUUUGAAGCUUAAUCUUCAAUCCAAAGAAUCUACCAUGGAUCUAAACAAGAACCUUGAUGACAAUGGUUCUAAGGAAAAAUCAGGUUCUGCCAAAGAUCCUGCAAAACCUCCUGCCAAGUAAGUCAUAAUUAUAAGACCGACCAAACCCAGUUUUUGUUUAGGGUUCUUUUUUAACAUGGGUCUUUUGUUUUACAGGGCACAAGUGGUGGGUUGGCCACCAGUUCGAUCAUAUAGGAAGAACAUAAUGGCUAACCAGAAGAACAGCAGUGAAGAAAGUGGGAAUAGUGGUGCAGCUUUGGUGAAAGUGAGUAUGGAUGGUGCACCAUAUCUGAGAAAAGUUGAUUUGAAGAUGUAUAAGAGUUACCAAGAGUUAUCCGAUGCCUUGGCUAAGAUGUUU
rnacentral:lncRNA from 1 species